rnacentral:rRNA from 1 species
UUUGGAGAGUUUGAUCCUGGCUCAGGACGAACGCUGGCGGCGUGCCUAAUACAUGCAAGUCGAGCGAAGUUUUUCUGGUGCUUGCACUAGAAAAACUUAGCGGCGAACGGGUGAGUAACACGUAAAGAACCUGCCUCAUAGACUGGGACAACUAUUGGAAACGAUAGCUAAUACC